UUUUCCCAUCUCUCUCUCUCUCUCUCUCUCUUUCAUGUCGCAGUCCUCUCCAGUCCAUGGCAACAACAACAGUAAUUUUCAGCAAGCUAGAUCUCUCAAUCAGAUUAGCAAUCCGCUGCUCAUUGUUAGGGCUUCAAGAGUAUCGGCCAUUAUCCUCUAUUGCGAAUGGUUUCUAUACGUGUUUGGCUUUAUCUUAGUCAAAUGGUGAGGAUACCAUACCCGUAUGGACAAAAAUGUCAGAUUUGUAGGAAAGAUGGGUACUGACUUGCACCAUGUGCUGAACUAGGCCAUUUUCUGGAAACUAAAGCAUCGGGCUCUCGAAUCCUACCACAGAAAAUGGCACGCUGAAUUUCUGGUAUUGCUGCAUGUCCCAAUCGAACUGCAAUAUCGGUUAAUCGGGAAGUUAUCGUUUGGAACAAAUAGCCGCAAAAGCUUAUGAUAUAACAAAACUCAAGCACGUGAGUAGACAAAAAUAUGUUACUCACUGAGAAGGAAAAUUUAUAUCAAGUCCAACUCAAAGUAUCCAGCUUCCGUGUUGAAUUUUGAAGAGUCUGAGCUGUUGUUUGAGACAGGGAGAAGUUAAGGCAACGUCAGUUAGUAGUCAAGGCAAGGUCAAUUAGUAGUCAGUAUGUAGAGGUUACAGAGUUAGAGCUCUUGUUGAAGCCUAGGAGAAGUUGAGGUAAUAAACCAUUUGGUUUGUUGAUUAGUAUCUAGAGAACUAUAUGUAUUGAUGUAUUAAAGUUUAAAUAGAAAGAUUUAUUUAUCUGGUUUGUUGAAUUUUACAAUAUAGGAAAUUAUUGUUAUAUAUUCAACAAUCAGAUAUUGGAUUUUCAUUAUAUGUACCAGGGAAAAAAAAUUUCAUAUAUUGAGAAUUCUUUAUGAGCAA